rnacentral:rRNA from 1 species
CCGGGUGAGUAACACGUAUGCAACCUGCCUGCCACAGCCGGAUAAUCGGGAGAAAUUCCGUCUAAUACGGCAUAAUGCAUCGACGGGACAUCCUGUUGGUGCCAAAGGGUUGAUUCCGGUGGCGGAUGGGCAUGCGUCGCAUUAGUUAGUUGGCGGUGUAACGGACCACCAAGACGACGAUGCGUAGGGGUUCUGAGAGGAAGGUCCCCCACACUGGUACUGAGACACGGACCAGACUCCUACGGAAGGCAGCAG